UCGAACGAACUCUUCGGAGUUAGUGGCGGAUCGGUGAGUAACACGUGGGAACGUGCCUUUAGGUUCGGAAUAACUCAGGGAAACUUGUGCUAAUACCGAAUGUGCCCUUCGGGGGAAAGAUUUAUCGCCUUUAGAGCGGCCCGCGUCUGAUUAGCUUGUUGGUGAGGUAAUGGCUCACCAAGGCUACGAUCAGUAGCUGGUCUGAGAGGAUGACCAGCCACAUUGGGACUGAGACACGGCCCAAACUCCUACGGGAGGCAGCAGUGGGGAAUCUUGCGCAAUGGGCGAAAGCCUGACGCAGCCAUGCCGCGUGUAUGAUGAAGGUCUUAGGAUUGUAAAAUACUUUCACCGGUGAAGAUAAUGACUGUAGCCGGAGAAGAAGCCCCGGCUAACUUCGUGCCAGCAGCCGCGGUAAUACGAAAGGGGCUAGCGUUGCUCGGAAUUACUGGGCGUAAAGGGAGCGUAGGCGGACAUUUAAGUCAGAGGUGAAAUCCCGGAGCUUAACUUCGGGAACUGCCCUUUGAUACUGGGUGUCUUGAGUGUGAAGAAAAGUAUGUGGGACUCCCAGUGUAGAGGUGAAAUUCGUAGAAUAUUCUGAAGAACACCAGUGGCGAAAGGGACCAUACUGGC
rnacentral:rRNA from 1 species